CGAGGAAGCUGAACGAUCGCGUGCGCAAGCAUGAGGAAAGUCCGAGCUCCAUAGGGCAGGGUGCCGGGUAACACCCGGUGGAGGCGACUCCAAGGAAAGUGCAACAGAGAGAUACCGCACGCUUUGCGUGUAAGGAUGGAAAGGCGAGGUAAGAGCUCACCAGCGGCCUGGCGACUUGUCCGCUAUGUAAACCCCACCCGGUGCAAGAUACGAUAGAGCGCAUAUGGCGGCCCGUCAUGCUCUGAGGAUUUCGCUGGAACCUGCCGGCAACGGCAGGUCUAGAUAGAUGAUCGUUCCAGACAGAACUCGGCUUACAGGCUUCGCUCGCAAU
rnacentral:RNase_P_RNA from 1 species